rnacentral:rRNA from 1 species
UUAGAUCAGAAGCGAGAAUGUUGACAUGAGUAGCGAUAAAGGGGGUGAGAGACCCCCUCGCCGUAAGUCCAAGGGUUCCUGCUUAAAGCUAAUCUGAGCAGGGUAAGCCGGCCCCUAAGGCGAGGCCGAAAGGCGUAGUCGAUGGGAACCAGGUUAAUAUUCCUGGGCCAGGAGGAAGUGACGGAUCUCAAAGUUUGUUCGCCCUUAUCGGAUUGGGCGGGCCGUUCAGAGGUCCCUGGAAAUAGCCCUCCAUGAGACCGUACCCUAAACCGACACAGGUGGACUGGUAGAGUAUACCAAGGCGCUUGAGAGAACCACAUCAAAGGAACUCGGCAAAAUGCCUCCGUAAGUUCGCGAGAAGGAGGCCCCAUCUUUACGCAAGUAGAGGUGGGGGGCACAAACUAGGGGGUGGCGACUGUUUACUUAAAACACAGGGCUCUGCGAAGCCGUAAGGCGACGUAUAGGGUCUGACGCCUGCCCGGUGCUGGAAGGUUAAAAGGAGGGGUGCAAGCUCUGAAUUGAAGCCCCAGUAAACGGCGGCCGUAACAAUAACGGUCCUAAGGUAGCGAAAUUCCUUGUCGGGUAAGUUCCGACCUGCACGAAUGGCGUAACGAUCUCCCCGCUGUCUCUGAUGUGGAUUCAGCGAAAUUUAACUGUGUGUCAAGAUGCACACUACCCGCGGUUAGACGGAAAGACCCCAUGCACCUUUACUAUAGCUUCGCAUUGGCAACAGGAUUGUGAUGUGCAGGAUAGGUGGUAGGCAUCGAAGCGGGGACGCUAGUCUUCGUGGAGCCUCCCUUGAGAUACCACCCUUCGCACUCUUGUUGUCUAACCGCGGUCCGUCAUCCGGAUCCGGGACCCUGCGUGGUGGGUAGUUUGACUGGGGCGGUCGCCUCCCAAAUCGUAACGGAGGCGCGCGAAGGUAGGCUCAGACCGGUCGGAAAUCGGUCGUUGAGUGCAAUGGCAGAAGCCUGCCUGACUGCAAGACUGACAAGUCGAGCAGAGACGAAAGUCGGUCAUAGUGAUCCGGUGGUCCCAAGUGGGAGGGCCAUCGCUCGACGGAUAAAAGGUACGCUGGGGAUAACAGGCUGAUGAUGCCCAAGAGUCCAUAUCGACGGCAUCGUUUGGCACCUCGAUGUCGGCUCAUCUCAUCCUGGGGCUGGAGCAGGUCCCAAGGGUAUGGCUGUUCGCCAUUUAAAGAGGUACGUGAGCUGGGUUUAGAACGUCGUGAGACAGUUCGGUCCCUAUCUGCCGUGGGUGUAGGAGACUUGAGAAGAGUUGCCCCUAGUACGAGAGGACCGGGGUGAACGUUCCACUGGUGGACCAGUUGUCGUGCCAACGGCAGUGCUGGGUAGCUAUGAACGGACAGGAUAACCGCUGAAGGCAUCUAAGCGGGAAGCCCCCUUCAAAACAAGGUCUCCCUUGAGAGCCGUGGAAGACCACCACGUCGAUAGGCCAGAGGUGUAAGUGCGGUAACGCAUUCAGCUGACUGGUACUAAUUGCUUAA